UUUGAGGUAAUGAAGGAAUUA
rnacentral:piRNA from 1 species